AACGGACAGCCGCUAAACGAUACAACUGAUGAAACCUAUCAAAAUGAUUGCCUGUAUUGGCAUAACUAUUACCGAUCGCUGCAUCAAAAUACUGCACCUCCUGUCAGAAACAACUGGUUGGUAAACAUAGCCAAAGGUCGGUGUCAGGAUGUGUCGAAAAAACCGGGCCUAUCGGCCGGCCAUAGCGGCCUUACCGGUAAUAUUGGCGAAAAUUUGUUUUGGGUGGGCGCCCCGGGUAAUGUCAAUUUUGUGGCACCCUGCAAAAAUGCAUUGAUUGCUUGGCAUGAAGAGAUCAGAUUUUAUAAUUACUCGAAACCGGGUUUCUAUACACCGGCCGCACAUUUUACGCAACUUGUGUGGAACAGUAGCUCACAAGUAGGCUGUGCCCGAUGCAGUGGUAAUGGA